UGCAUCCAGCAGUUCCAAGAGAACAUACAAAAAAUCAGAGAUUCAAUCGAUGCAAUGGUGGUGGAGCAACGCAGUGGCUCUGAGCAGCCGAGGAAGCGCCGGGCUAUGAAGGAAGAUGAGCUUGGAAGGAUCGCUGCAGAGGUUUGUGACACCAUACUUGGACACACCAGGGAACGCUUUGCCUUCAAAGACCACCUCAUCAGUGCCACCUUACUGCAGAGCUGCCAGUUUGAAUGCUACGUCAAUGUAUUCCCUGAAGUUGCUCUGGCCACCACAUUGAAGGCCUAUCCAAUGCUCAACGGAAGAAAGCUGAAGACAGAGCUUAGCCUCAUCUAUGGCACAGAGGAAUUUCGAUCCUGUUGUGGUGCUGUGGAUCUUUUCCAGUUGCUCAUGGAAAAUAAUCUUUCGGAGGUAUUUUCAGAGACAAAAACACUGCUGAAAAUCAUCAUCACAACUCCCAUGACCACUGCUGAGGCUGAGAGGUGUUUUUCAACACUGAAAAGGGUUAAAACCUUUCUCAGGAACACCAUGACUCAGGAGAGACUGAAUGCCUUAGCCAUGCUCUCAAUGGAAAAAAGGCUGAUCACAAAC